CCUACGGGAGGCAGCAGUGAGGAAUAUUGGUCAAUGGGCGUACGCCUGAACCAGCCAAGCCGCGUGAGGGAAGACUGCUCUACGGGUUGUAAACUUCUUUUGUCAGGGAGUAAACUGCCUUACGCUUAGCGUUAUCCAGAUUCCCUGCAGAUAAUGCUCGGCUCACUCCUUCGCAGGCAGCCGCGUUAUUCGGGAGGUCGUGAGCGUAUCCCGAUUUUAUGGGGUUAAAGGGGUGCGUAGUUGGGAUGCCAAGUCGGCGGUAAAUUCCCAGGGCUAACCCUCGCGCCGCCGUUGAAACUGGCGUACUAGAGUGGGGAGGAAGUAGGCGGAAUGCGUGGUGUAGCGGUGAAAUGCAUAGAUAUUACGCAGAACACCGAUUGCGAAGGCAGCAUGCCGGGGCGGAACUGACGCUGAAGCACGAAAGCGUGGGGAUCGAACAGGAUUAGAUACCCGUGUAGUC
rnacentral:rRNA from 1 species